ensembl:lncRNA
CAGGAGGCUUGGGAGGAGCAGAAGGGGAGGGAGGCGCGAUGAAAACACAGGCCAUCAAAAGAGAGGGCCUCGAAAGAGGCAAGAGCAGAGCGGAGCCUCCGGGCUGAAGGCCAGCUUUUCUCUGCGCCCUCCUAGAUGCACGGGUCUGCUGCCUCUCCCCAAACCCCCAGAUCUCUAAGUAUCAGAACAGCCCACACUGGGCAUCAGACAUGUGAGCGUGGCCCCCGCAGAGACAGGGAGCCGGCCUCCUUCCCUCUCCUGCCAGCUCCCACAAUUGGGUGGGCGGAUGGUGCUCCGCUGAGAUCAGCUAAACAGGCCCACCUCUGAUGUGCGAAGCCCUCCUUUUACACAGCCAUGAGUGCCUGAAAGCUUGGGAGCAUAAAUCAAUGCCAGGCAAAGGAGUCCUCAUUGAAAUUCACCAGGAAAAAUGCAUCGCUGAGGAUCCUAGAGUGAGUUCCUCUCCACAGACAACAGUUGCCCCAGACAUGGCUCUUGCAUCAGCACACAGUGGAGCGGUUGGAAGUGGGCCCACUCCGACUAUGGAACUUCAUCAGGAGGAUGUUCUGGCCGCGCCAGGGGGGAAGUGAGGAUCUGGGAAGAGGGUACCAGCUAGGACCCAAUGGAGCAUGCCAUCUGGAACCAUGGGGUGGCUACAGCUUGCAGGAGAUGGGCUUGGAGGAAAAGCAUGGCCAGGAUGGAGCCAGACCUCACAGUGUGCACCCCAAACCCACAGCCCCUCUCCCCAGCCCAGCGCCCUCCAGGAGCUACUGGAUCUCUCUCUCCUGCCUCCCCAACUGUUUCCUUAGUGUGAUUGUGCAGAAUGAUUUGUGGGCCUGACAAGUUGAAUUGUGGGUAAAGCACUGUCCAAAUGGGGAGCAAAUUGGAACUGCAGCUCCAGCUGGCAGGCCAUCCAUCACGGGAAAGGCUCGUCAGCACCUCCCUGCCCCGCCCAGCCUGGGCCCCUCACUGUGCCUGCCCCAGGGGUGAAGGUGUCUCCUCUCUCCACCUAGGGUCUGAGGGGCCAUGGGUAACAUGGGAGUAGGGGUCUGGGACUAGGGACCUAAUUGGAGGAGAGACCGGGAAGAGGAGGACUAUUCUGUGCAUUCGUUGGGUCUCCUUUAGGCCUUUCCAUCGCAUUUUUUUUGCUGAUGAAUUUCACAUAAGCCUCCCAAGAGUUGUAUUAUUUACAAAUUGGGAAACUGAGGCACAGUACUGUCGGGUGACAGGCCCAACCCUGCACUGCAUUAGCAGAGACUAGAGCAUGAAAUUUACUGCCAGAAUACCUGGAAUUCUUAACAAAGCAGUAGUUUCUUGCAACAGGGAAAAAUUCAAAAGCAAAUAAAUAUUCCAUCUGGCACAACUCCUAGUUCCUGGAGCUGACACCUUAGUGGCUCCAUUAUGGACCAAUGAGGUGAUGGAGCUGCAAAAAUGCCUGUAACCUGCAGGCCCUGCCUUGAGGGACUCACUGUCUGUGCCAGGAGCUGUUCCCCUUCUAGGAGAACCCUCUCCUUGCCCGCGCCCUGCCCAACCUCUGACAGCCCACUCCUCAGUCCAUGUGACCCAGCUCCUGGCCACGCUGAUCAGGCCGGAGGUGGUCACCUGAGCCAGGCUAUCUCCUCGUAGCCUGCCCACUGACCUUUGACUUGGGCUGUCCCUGAAAAAGAUGAGCUAAGCCAAUUACAUGUAAAGAAUUUGGAAUUGGGAUCCUGAGCAACCCAAUCAGGUAGCAGAGUGAGCCCAGCUGAUAGGUCACAGGUAACCUCUGGACUCUUCUUUCUCAGAGGCCAAACUAUCCAGACCCUGCUUACUUUCCCCUGCCUCUCCCUCAGCUCCGGGUCCAGAAACCUCUGUGCCUGUGGAAGAGGGGGGGAAGCUGCCACACUUGCUCUCUGGCACCCCACAUGUGCCCAAGCUACUGAACUGUUUAUCCACAUGAGUCAUUUCCGUUUCCCCCUGAGACCUGGGUUUGGAAACAGAACCCAAGCACAGACGGCUGUCUCUCCCUUUAUGCUGAGUCAUCCCUUCCUUGAGACAACAGCUGAGCUGUCCUGCUGACUACUGAAAGAAGUGGCCAAGGUUGGGGCUGGAGAGGAGCCACGGAACAUGAAUUGGCAUUCCCAUACGUUAUCCUGUCACACAAGGUUACCUGUGGCCCAGGACCCCAAAUGCGAAAGCAUCAGGAAGGGAGAGAGCUCCACUCUGCCUCCUCCAAGGGCGGGGGCGUGUAUGCGUGGCCCCUCUCUGCAGACCUCUGUGCUCCCGAUUUCAUUUUUGUGGAGCCUUUUCUGACUGUCCUGGCCCUGGGCUUCUCAUGACGUGUUGGAUUAGUGCUGAAAGUCUGACUGUUUGUACAAAGUGCUUUUGUAUCUGUUUCAAUCAGGGUUUAAGUUCAGGAAACCGAAGACAUGGGGAUUUUAAGAAGAGAGGCAAUUAACAUGGGGAAUUAGGUGCUUACGAAGUCAUCGGAGGUGUUGGAACAGUCAGCAUUAGGCUUGCAUCCAGCAAUGAGUAAAGAAUGGCCGAACUGGCCCCAUCAGGAAGGGGAGGAAUCAGAGCCACCACCAGACACGCCACUCUAGCUGCAAUCCAGUGUCUGAAGCUGCUGUCACCACCAUCCCGCGUCUGGGCCCCAUAAAGCUGGUGACUGGACAUUGGAAUGCCAUGGGCCCAUGAGCCUACCUGCCACCAGCAACUAGGUAACAGAUGAGGAAGCUGGCUCAGCCUCACUUCCGCCCUGCAACCCUCACGUGGGUGCAUGCAUUCAGCAGAACCUAGCUCAUGAACGAAAGCCCUAAGGCGCACGGGAGCCACAGUUUUUAGCUUUGUAGCCUCUGCGGCACCAGAAGGCAUGGAAUGGAUGCUGAGUCCAAGCACAAAUCUCAGAGCCCAAUUUCAGAUUCCCAAGAGACACCACAGGCUGACACGGCCCACCUUUUGCAGCCACUGUGGGCUGACCGCCCUGGGUUGAGGCCUGGCCUGGGGGAAGCUGUGUAAACACAUGAGGGGCUGUGGAAGGGGAGCAGGACUGAAGAUGGAGGUGCACGACUCUGAGUGUGCACGUGCAUGUACCUGCCUGGGGAAGAGGAGUGGGGGGAUCUGAGGGGCUGGGAGAGGAAGCCCAGCUCUCCCUACAUUCUCACUGGCCCUCUUCUAACAGGAGCAGCCAGCAGCCACGAGGCUCCCCUCCAGUGGGGAAGUCAGUGGAGGGUGGACCUUGCCCACUCCCAGGCUCUGUCUACCCAGGGCCAGCACAGCCAGCUCUGAUCAGCUCUCUGGGAAGGCUGAAGUCUUUGUCUCUCCUUGAGCUAAUUUCUGGGGAUCCCAGCAUCCUGUAUAAACAAAACCAGGAUACCUAGAAUGUUCCUCUCUUCAAAAUACAGUUGCGACAAACACUGUGGCUGCAGGUUCCCUGGGGGAUGCUUUGCUGGGGUGGGAUACAUGGAGGCUUAGUUUCCUCUGCCUGCAGACCGUUGGCCC